rnacentral:rRNA from 1 species
GACGAACCGUACGAACGUUAUUCGGAAUUACUGGGCUUAAAGGGUGCGUAGGCUGCGCAGAAAGUUGGGUGUGAAAUCCAUCGGCUUAACCGAGGAACUGCGCCCAAAACUACUGUGCUCGAGGGAGACAGAGGUGAGCGGAACUUAGGGUGGAGCGGUGAAAUGCGUUGAUAUCCUAAGGAACACCCGUGGCGAAAGCGGCUCACUGGGUCUCUUCUGACGCUGAGGCACGAAAGCUAGGGUAGCGAACGGG